rnacentral:lncRNA from 1 species
UUGUUGACAUAACAUAAAAUACAUGACUUUCCAUAACUCCAGCUGGUUGAUAAUGUUGGGAGUGCUGUGUGUUCUCAUAGCACAGGUGGCACAGAAAUAUUUAUCUGAGCCACAAUCCCCACAGCGCCACAGCUCAGCCUCCUCCAAAGCUCUACAUGAUGGCGUUGGAAGGAAGAUAUUUCAGCUCCACUGCAGGCAGGUGGAGUAGCUCCCUCAACCCCUUCCAGGUCUCAACAUCGGCUGCCUUCCUUUUUUUGAUGCUGGUGGAGGAGGUGCAUCACUGCAGCUGGGCACAACUUCUGCUGCAGAGGGAAUCGGCUCUGUUCUCCCAGUACUCUCUAGAGAGCAGUGACAGCUGUUACAGAGUGGACUAUCCUGGUUAAAUUACCUUUAACAGAACUGAACAGAGCAACUUUCUCACCGAUCCAAGUUGAUGGCAGGGGUGUACAUGCUAUCGCGCCUAUAGUCAGGUCUCUGUAAUCCAGCGUGGAUCUCUUUCUUCUGGUUAUAUGAAUUGUCAUGGGGAAAGUCAAGAGGAAGCAGUGGAGUGAGGUGGACAUUUUUCUAUGCCAUGGAGGACUGUGGGGCAGGGAUGGCUAUCCACCAGGCUGCCAAGGUGCAUGGUGUACCUCUGCAGACCCUGGUGGACAGGCUGAGCAGCCGGGUGACCCAUGGUUGUAGCAGUGGACCACCCACAUUGCUUGCACCAGAGGAUGAAAAUGAUCUGGUGCAGUACUGUAUCUACUGCACCAGCCAUGGGUUCCCCUUCACCAGACAGAGGCUGAUGAAGUACGCAGUACAGAAAAGGAAAAGAAAAGCUCCACCUGCCUGAAAACUACCCGCAAAAGUGUGAGUCUGAGGUGCCAGGUGUGUGCUGUGACUUCUGCCAGUACUGGUUCCACUGCAGGUGUGUGCUGUGACUUCUGCCAACACUGGUUCCACUGCAGGUGUGUGCUGUGACUUCUGCCAGUACUGGUUCCACUGCAGGUGUGUGCUGUGACUUCUGCCAACACUGGUUCCACUGCAGGUGUGUGCUGUGACGGUGGAGCUGGAUUUUAAUUGUGAUUUCUGUGACAAUAUAGGGAUGGUGGUUGAGAUAUAAUUGUUUGUUUUCAUAUGCAAUUAUUUAUUUGUAAAAAUAAUGACAUGUCUAAAAUAUAAUAUAUAUUUAUUCAA